UACAGAGGGGGCGAGCGUUGUUCGGAAUCACUGGGCGUAAAGGGCGCGUAGGCGGCUUGAUAAGUCGGGGGGUGAAAGCCUGUGGCUCAACCACAGAAUUGCCUUCGAUACUGUCGAGCUUGAGACCGGGAAGAGGUAAGUGGAACUGCGAGUGUAGAGGUGAAAUUCGUAGAUAUUCGCAAGAACACCAGUGGCGAAGGCGGCUUACUGGUCCGGUUCUGACGCUGAGGCGCGAAAGCGUGGGGGAGCAAACAGGG
rnacentral:rRNA from 1 species